CCUACGGGAGGCAGCAGUGGGGGAUAUUGGACAAUGGGGGGAACCCUGAUCCAGCGACGCCGCGUGAGUGAAGAAGUAUCUCGGUAUGUAAAGCUCUAUCAGCAGGGAAGAAGAAAUGACGGUACCUGAGUAAGAAGCCCCGGCUAACUACGUGCCAGCAGCCGCGGUAAUACGUAGGGGGCAAGCGUUAUCCGGAUUUAUUGGGUUUAAAGGGUGCGCAGGCGGUCUGUUAAGUCAGCGGUCAAAGCCCGGGGCUCAACCCCGGCGAGCCGUUGAAACUGGCUGUCUUGAGAUGUCGAGAGGUAUGCGGAAUGCGCAGUGUAGCGGUGAAAUGCUUAGAUAUUGCGCAGAACUCCGAUUGCGAAGGCAGCAUACCGGCGGCGAUCUGACGCUGAGGCACGAAAGCGUGGGUAUCGAACAGGAUUAGAUACCCUGGUAGUC
rnacentral:rRNA from 1 species